AGCAAAUGUAUCCUACUAUUAGAGUUUAUCUCGAAAUGCUUUGGGAAAUCUCAGGGGGCUGGAGGAACCCUCAGCUCAAGCCAUUUGUGGGAUGUGUUGGUCCGGCAUAGACUCCAGCCAAAAGACCAAAUAUUGCCUUUUGUUGUUUCCUGGAGGGAAGGAUAUGGACAACAAUGAUCUGGCCGUGGGGAAGAUUCAAGGGAAUAAAAAUGAAUCAUCACCAGCCACCAGGAAGCACCAGGAGCUCUCUAAAUGGAAUGGAGGCCUCCCAUACCUUGGGCAUUGAUAAACCUUGGCUGUUGCUUCAAAUAUAAAUGAUUCUAGAACAUCAGAAUAACUAGUAACAGUAAGAUUACUCAAAUAAGCAAAUAAAAUCAAAGAAGGUAAGUAAAAAUUUUAUAAUCUAACGUUUGAAUUGGACAUAUCACUAUAAACUCAUUUUAUCUUUUAAAAUAAAUUUUAAAAUGCAUAUUUCAUUGCUCUGUCCCUUGAAAAAGUCUAAAAGGAAUGACAACUCAGCAGUAAUUAACACAAUAAGCAUCCAGAUUGUGGUUUUUAAAUCCUAUUGUGUCCAGAAUUGGUGGGUUCUUGGUCUCACUGACUUCAAGAAUGAAGCCGCAGACGCUCGCGGUGAGUGUUACAGCUCUUAAGGUGGCGCCUCUGGAGUUUGUUCCUUCUGAUGUUCGGAUGUGUUCAGAGUUUCUUACUUCUGGUGGGUUCGUGGUCUCGCUGGCUCAGGAGUGAAGCUGCAGACCUUCGAGGUGACUGUUACAGCUCUUAAGACAGCGCGUCUGGAGUUGUUCGCUCCUCCCGGUGGGCUCAUGGUCUCGCUGGCUUCAGGAAUGAAGCUGCAGACCUUUGUGGUGAGUGUUACAGCUUGUAAAAGCAGCGUGGACCCAAAGAGUGAGCGGUAGCAAGAUUUAUUGCAAAGAGCGAAAGAACAAAGCUUCCACAUUGUGGAGAAGGACCUGAGCG
rnacentral:lncRNA from 1 species